UGGGGAAUAUUGCACAAUGGGCGAAAGCCUGCUGCAGCAACGCCGCGUGAGUGAUGAAGGCCUUCGGGUUGUAAAGCUCUGUCUUCUGGGACGAUAAUGACGGUACCAGAGGAGGAAGCCACGGCUAACUACGUGCCAGCAGCCGCGGUAAUACGUAGGUGGCCACCGUUGUCCGGAUUUACUGGGCGUAAAGGAUGCGUAGGCGGAUACUUAAGUCAGAUGUGAAAAUCCCGGGCUUAACUUGGGAACUGCAUUUGAAACUGGGUAUCUAGAGUGAGGGAGAGNAAAGAGGAAGUCAUAGGGUAGCGGUGAAAUGCGUAGAGAUUAGGAAGAAUACCAGUGGCGAAGGCGAAUUUAUGGACCGUAACUGACGCUG
rnacentral:rRNA from 1 species